GACGUAGGAGGCGAGCGUUAUCCGGAUUCACUGGGCGUAAAGCGCAUGUAGGCGGCUCGAUAAGUCGCGUGUGAAAGCCCCCGGCUCAACUGGGGAGGGUCACGCGAUACUGAUCGACUCGAAGGCAGGAGAGGGAAGUGGAAUUCCCGGUGUAGUGGUGAAAUGCGUAGAUAUCGGGAGGAACACCAGUGGCGAAGGCGACUUCCUGGCCUGUUCUUGACGCUGAGGCGCGAAAGCUAGGGGAGCAAACGGG
rnacentral:rRNA from 1 species